GUUGGGUUUUUAAAUGACGAAAUUCUUUGUGCACCGCGCGCACGGUGAUGUCUCCGGGAUUAUGCAUGACCGAAUCAUCGUGCACGGAACAUGAUUUUCUGCACCACGUGCGGUGCACAAAGAAUUACUUUUAAAUGGGCUGAGUGAGAGCCCGCUCCACCGAGCUGCUCCUUUUGGACUGAAGCAACUAGGAGUCAACUAAAAAUAUAU
rnacentral:lncRNA from 1 species